rnacentral:rRNA from 1 species
UCGAACGCUGAAGCCUGGUGCUUGCACCGGGUGGAUGAGUGGCGAACGGGUGAGUAACACGUGAGUAACCUGCCCCUGACUUCGGGAUAAGCCCGGGAAACUGGGUCUAAUACCGGAUACGACCGUCGGACGCAUGUCUGGUGGUGGAAAGUUUUUUCGGUUGGGGAUGGGCUCGCGGCCUAUCAGUUUGUUGGUGAGGUAAUGGCUCACCAAGACGACGACGGGUAGCCGGCCUGAGAGGGCGACCGGCCACACUGGGACUGAGACACGGCCCACACUCCUACCGGAGGCAUCAGUGGGGAAUAUUGCACAAUGGGGGAAACCCUGAUGCAGCGACGCAGCGUGCGGGAUGACGGCCUUCGGGUUGUAAACCGCUUUCAGCAGGGAAGAAGCGCAAGUGACGGUACCUGCAGAAGAAGUACCGGCUAACUACGUGCCAGCAGCCGCGGUAAUACGUAGGGUACGAGCGUUGUCCGGAAUUAUUGGGCGUAAAGAGCUCGUAGGUGGUUGGUCACGUCUGCUGUGGAAACGCAACGCUUAACGUUGCGCGUGCAGUGGGUACGGGCUGACUAGAGUGCAGUAGGGGAGUCUGGAAUUCCUGGUGUAGCGGUGAAAUGCGCAGAUAUCACGAGGAACACCGGUGGCGAAGGCGGGACUCUGGGCUGUAACUGACACUGAGGAGCGAAAGCAUGGGGAGCGAACAGGAUUAGAUACCCUGGUAGUCCAUGCCGUAAACGUUGGGCACUAGGUGUGGGGGGCAUUCCACGUUCUCCGCGCCGUAGCUA